rnacentral:lncRNA from 12 species
GGAUAGUACCACUUAAGACAUAUUAAGCACUUGCAUUUCCUUAUGACUAUUCCUUUGAGGUAAUUUGAAGGACAAAUGAUCUCUUGUGGCAGGAUUUUAGGUCAGGAUCACUACCUCUACUUCAUUGUCACCACACUGUCUCAACCCAACCCCCAAUAAAGAGUGAUGAGCAACUUGCAGGCUAUGAACCCUCAAGAAAAGUGAAUCUGCUUUGUAUUGGAAUUUUAUUAUCAGUGCAUUCAUAUGGGUCUGCAGCAAUACAAAUUAGUUUUAAAAAAUAUCUCUGUCCCUUGCCUCUUCUCUGAAACCUAGGAGAGAAAAUGUCAAGUUACUGUCGAGUAAGUUGCAGUAGCCUUACUUUAG